rnacentral:rRNA from 1 species
GACGAACGCUGGCGGCGUGCUUAACACAUGCAAGUCGAACGGAAAGGCCCCUUUGGGGGUACCCGAGUGGCGAACGGGUGAGUAACACGUGAGUAACCUGCCCUUGACUUCGGGAUAACUUCAGGAAACUGGGGCUAAUACCGGAUAGGAAUCCUUGCUGCAUGGUGGGGGUUGGAAAGCUUCGGCGGUUUUGGAUGGACUCGCGGCUUAUCAGCUUGUUGGUGGGGUAGUGGCUUACCAAGGCUUUGACGGGUAGCCGGCCUGAGAGGGCGACCGGCCACAUUGGGACUGAGAUACGGCCCAGACUCCUACGGGAGGCAGCAGUGGGGAAUAUUGCACAAUGGGCGGAAGCCUGAUGCAGCAACGCCGCGGGCGGGAUGACGGCCUUCGGGUUGUAAACCGCUUUCAGCAGGGGCGAAGCUUGUGGUGACGGUACCUGCAGAAGAAGCACCGGCUAACUACGUG